rnacentral:rRNA from 1 species
AUUAAUUAGAAGUUUAAAAAUUUAUUAUUACUUUGUUAUUAUAUUACAUCAUUGGAAUAAAAAUAAAUUUAUGAAUUAAUAUAUUUUACCUUUUGUAUAAUGGUUAUAUAAAAAACAUAUUUUAUUAUAGUUCCCGAAAUAAGAAGAUCUAGUUAUUAGCAUUUUUUAGGAUAAGAUAAUAGUUAUGUUGAAAUAUGGCUAAAAGACUAAUAAUUAGGAGUGAAAAACUUUCAAUUUUUAAGAUAUCUGGUAACUUUUGAAAAGCAUUUAGUGCUGUUAAAUUUAUACACAAAGUGGUGAGAUUUUGUGUAAAUAGAAUUUUAAUUAAAAGAUAUAUUUUUUAGAGUUAAUCCUAUCAAAUUUAAAUUAAUUAAUUAUUAAUUUUUUAUUUUAUCUAAUUUUUAGAAAGUUUUUGUAAAUAUUUCAAUUUUAUAAUUAAUCAUGUAUAAAUAAGUAGUAUAUAAAAUAAUUGUAUAUUUUAAUAAAAUAUUGUUUUAUAAUUAUUGGAGAUAAUUAAUUAAAAGGAAUUCGGCAAAUAUAAGCUUCGACUGUUUAACAAAAACAUAGUCUUAGGAUAAUUGAUCUAAGAUUAAACCUGCCCAAUGUUUAUCUCAUGAAUGGCCGCGGUACCUUGACCGUGCUAAGGUAGCACAAUAAAUUGGCCUUUAAAUGAGGCCAUGUAUGAAUGGAAUCACGGAGCUUAGCUGUCUCUAAAAUUAAUUUAUUGAAAUUACUAUUCAGGUGAAAAAGCCUGUUUUAAGAAAAAGGACGAGAAGACCCUUAGAGCUUUACUAAAAUUAAAAAUUUUUUAAGACAGUUUUGUUGGGGCAACAUAGGAACAUUAAAAUUUCCUUAAAUUAAAUCUACCGAUAUUUAUAAAUUUGAAUAAGCUACCUUAGGGAUAACAGCAAAAUUUUAUAAUUUAGUUUGUGACCUCGAUGUUGGACUAGGAAACUAGUAGGUUAGCCGCUUAUUAGAUAAGUUCUGUUCGAACUGUAAUUUCCUACGUGAUCUGAGUUCAGACCGGCGUAAGCCAGGUCAGAUUCUAUCCUUUUAUUUUAAGAAUUUAGUACGAAAGGACCAAUUUUUAGUAUAUUUAAGAUA